GAUCUUCUUGUAUUAUGCGAUCGGAAAACACUGUUAAUGUUAAGCAUGAGAUAAACAAAACUACGAUAAGCAUUGAUAACAGUGAAGAAGUCCAUAACUUUAGCAACCUCUCCAAUGUAGAGAACCUGAAGUCUUAGAUGUAUUCAUUCAUCUUGCUGAAAGAUUUAUACUUGAAGCUUAAAAACCAGGAUCUGACAGGAAGGGAAGCGGAUACACUACAGCUGAUAGAGAUCUGUUUUAUAACUGUACAAAUUUAAUAAAGUUUUACUACAGAG